rnacentral:rRNA from 1 species
UGGGGAAUUUUGGACAAUGGGCGAAAGCCUGAUCCAGCAAUGCCGCGUGUGUGAAGAAGGCCUUCGGGUUGUAAAGCACUUUUGUCCGGAAAGAAAUCCUUGGCUCUAAUACAGUCGGGGGAUGACGGUACCGGAAGAAUAAGCACCGGCUAACUACGUGCCAGCAGCCGCGGUAAUACGUAGGGUGCAAGCGUUAAUCGGAAUUACUGGGCGUAAAGCGUGCGCAGGCGGUUUGCUAAGACCGAUGUGAAAUCCCCGGGCUCAACCCGGGAACUGCAUUGGUGACUGGCAGGCUAGAGUAUGGCAGAGGGGGGUAGAAUUCCACGUGUAGCAGUGAAAUGCGUAGAGAUGUGGAGGAAUACCGAUGGCGAAGGCAGCCCCCUGGGCCAAAUACUGACGCUCAUGCACGAAAGCGUGGGGGAGCAAAACAGGAUUAGAUACCCUGGUAGUCCACGCCCUAAACGAUGUCAACUAGUUGUUGGGGAUUCAUUUCCUUAGUAACGUAGCUAACGCGUGAAGUUGACCGCCUGGGGAGUACGGUCGCAAGAUU